ACAAAGUAACUUGUGUGUUUAUCUACUCUAUGUGUGAUAUUAUGCAUUUUGCAUUCUGAAUUUAAACUGACAAACCUGCCUUUGAGUUGUUUUCCUCCUCAGGUACUUUGAAACUGAUCUGUGUCGAUUAAGCUGGCAGAUCAUCCUUAUUUUACCAGAUCCAAAGGUCCCGCAGAUUCUUUUCCCAGAUAAGAUUCAUACAAAGGAAAAGCAGUAAUAGGAGACAAAAAUGAAGAAGUAAGUCUCACCGACGUUAUGGUGUCUCCACCCACCAUAGCGGACCAGAACGAAUUGAUUAUGCAACUGAUGCAACAGAUGUCAGAAAUAAGGGUGGAGAUGCAAAGGAGACAGGAUUUGCCUCCACAGGUUUUGCUUCUAAAAUUGCUGAUAGGAGACCUUCUAUCUACUUCCCUUCUUUAAGCAUUGAUCCAGCUAUGAAUCAACAUCUACACCUACUCAGAAUCCUUCCAUUAUAGACCUGACUACCCAAUAUCCUCAAUAUGCUUCCAAAUCCUACCAAACUCCACCUCCUCCUCAAAACAACCACACCCAAAUGCCACCCCAUCCUCAAAAUACCCAACAUCAAACCGCUCCACCACCACAAAACCAGAGCCAUAAUCCAAACCAAAAUACAUUCAUUCCCCGAACACCCUACCACCACUUAAAUCAAAAUACCAAUCCUCAUAUUUAUCCGCAAAACUACCAAACCACCCAAAAUGCCCAAAGUCCUUCCGUAGAUCCACCCCUACCUAAAAGAACAACUUUUCAUAUUCUCAUCCCGACUGAGCACGACGUGCAUGGUCCUAAGCUGGAUAACUAUGAGGAACAGGAAAGAGAAUGGAGGGCAAAGAAAGAAGCGAAAGUGGAUAUAAAGGAUUAAAUCAGGAAAGCGAUGAAAGAAUUCAAAAGCAUCCCCGAUGCCGCUGGUCUAAACUAUGAGGAUUUGUGCAUCCAUUCAAAUUUGAAUCUUCCUGAAGGGUUCAAGAUUCUUAAGUUUGAUACUUUCGAAGGAAUAGGGAAUCCUAUGGUGUAACACCUUGAAAAUCCAAGACUCAUUGUAAAGCCUAACAUGGGUGUCAUAGAGUCUAAACACUGUUUUUAGUCUAUUUUUAAUGGAUAUAGAUCAUUUAGGAGAUUUAUAAACCAAAACGUCCAAAACAUCCAGGAAGUUUGUUCAAAGGGAUGAUAGUGUGCCUUAGCCUACUUGACUAAGUUUAGGAGUCAGAUUUGUGCGAACGUUGGUGAAAAGGUAACUAAUGGGUGUUUGAGUUGUUCCAUGGCUAAAACGUCUAGGUACGACUCCCCAAGUACCAACCAAGGGCCCUUGAGGAGGACCCCUGCAGUUUGAUGCAGCACUGCCUGGUAGUGUGCAUUGACGGGACGGACGACGUCCUAUGUGUAGAUCGACGGGGCGUCGAUGCCACCGUCGUCCCACACUUAUCAAAUUGUAGAAAAGCCUCGCCUUCAACAGUCUCUGACCGGACUUACGGAUGUGCAGCACGGAUCGUCGGUGGACCAACGGUACAUCGAUCGAAGUCUCGUCGAUGGGGUCUGCAAUUCCUACACGUUUUAAAUUAAGUUCAUUUAACUAACUAAGUUUUUUAGGGGUUAGUUGGGGAUUCAAGAGAGACUUAUUAAGUUGAUCAAGUCCUACUAUAAAUACCCUCAACCCUCAUUAAUCAAAACACAACUCUCAAAUAAACCCUCUUGCUUCUCUCUUCUUUGUUUCUCUAAUUGGAAGACGCCAUAGAAGCUUAGCUUGGAAGGUUAAUUGGGGGCUGGAAAAGGGUUGAUUCUUCAUCAAAUUGUUAAGAAACAUUAAGGUUCCAGUCGUUGAGGAGUUUUUGGAGGCGACAUUAUUGAAGGCUUAGAUUCUUCCUUUCAUCCAAGUGGGGAAGUAUGAACACUCGAAGGAAUGCGGCUCGAAGACUUAAGGAGGAAGUUUCAAAUGCGGGAGCUCCUCCCCAUGAUAACCAAGCCCCUCUACUUGAGGAAAAUGCUAAUGUUGAUCAAGCCCCGGUUAACCCUGCACCUAUGACGGAGGCGGAUAUGAGGGAUAUUCUUUCUCAAAUGGCUCAAGCUAUGAUUACUCAAGCACAAGCUGCGACGUUUCAAUCCCAAGCUACGACGGCUCAAGGCAAUCAGGAUGUUUUUCCCCGUCCUCAUCAACAAGUCACUACUAUGGCAUCCCGUCUAAGGGACUUCACUCGGAUGAACCCUCUUAUUUUCUAUGGGUCUAAGGUUGAUGAAGAUCCCCAAGAAUUCCUCGAUGAGGUCUACAAGGUACUAUAUGCUAUGGGGGUUUCUUCAAGUGAGAAGGUCGAGUUGGCCUUAUAUGAACUCAAGGAUGUGGAUCAAACAUGGUAUGUGAUAAUAGGCCGUUUAGGGGUAGUCGGUUACUUGGGAAAUCUUUAAGGUGGCUUUUCAAGAUCGGUUCUUCCCUAGAGAGAUGAGGGAGGAUAAAGUGACGGAGUUCAUCAAUCUUCGUCAAGGAGGGAAGAGUG